UGGGGAAUAUUGGACAAUGGGCGAAAGCCUGAUCCAGCCAUGCCGCGUGUGUGAAGAAGGCCUUUUGGUUGUAAAGCACUUUAAGCGAGGAGGAGGCUACUUAGAUUAAUACUCUAGGAUAGUGGACGUUACUCGCAGAAUAAGCACCGGCUAACUCUGUGCCAGCAGCCGCGGUAAUACAGAGGGUGCGAGCGUUAAUCGGAUUUACUGGGCGUAAAGCGUGCGUAGGCGGCUUCUUAAGUCGGAUGUGAAAUCCCUGAGCUUAACUUAGGAAUUGCAUUCGAUACUGGGAAGCUAGAGUAUGUGAGAGGAUGGUAGAAUUCCAGGUGUAGCGGUGAAAUGCGUAGAGAUCUGGAUGAAUAACGAUGGCGAAGGCAGCCAUCUGGCCUAAUACUGACGCUGAGGUACGAAAGCAUGGGGAGCAAACAGG
rnacentral:rRNA from 1 species